rnacentral:ncRNA from 2 species
AAUUUCGCUGCGAAUUUUGGUUUGUUUGGGCCUUUGGCCCAAACAAUUAAAAGGGAAUCCGGUGCAAAUCCGGAACUGUUCCCGCAACUGUAAGUUGAUAUCGAGUUCAUCUUGAUACCUUUUUGGGGUGCUAUUUUCUUCAAAGCCACUGUCCUUUAGGAUGGGAAGGCAAAAUGGCAUUCAACAAGUCAGGAGACCUGCCAAAUUUUUAUCCGCCCA